rnacentral:tmRNA from 1 species
UGGCCUCCAAACAGCCCGUCUGCCGGCGGAAUGGGGGCAAGAUUCCAAGUUGGCAAGACUAAGUAUGUAGAACGCUUUGUAGAGGGCUUUCGGACGGGGGUUCAAUUCCCCCCGCCUCCACCA